GAUGAAGAACGUAGCGAAAUGCGAUACGUAAUGUGAAUUGCAGAAUUCAGUGAAUCAUCGAAUCUUUGAACGCAUAUUGCGCUCUCUGGUAUUCCGGAGAGCAUGCUUGUUUGAGUAUCAGUAAACACCUCAACUUCCAUAUCUUUUUUGAAAUGGGAGUUGGACUUGAGUGAUCCCAACGCUUUUCCUCUCCGAAAAGUGGCGGGUUACUUGAAAUGCAGGUGCAGCUGGACUUUUCUCUGAGCUAUAAGCAUAUCUAUUUAGUCUGCCUAAAAAACAGAUUAUUACCUUUGCUGCAGCUAACAUAAAGGAGAUUAGUUCUUGUGCUGACUGAUGCAGGAUUCACAAAGACAGCUUCGGCCGACUUUGUAAACUCGAUCUCAAAUCAAGUAAGACUACCCGCUGAACUUAAGCAUAUCAAUAAGCGGAGGA
rnacentral:misc_RNA from 1 species